rnacentral:rRNA from 1 species
UACGUAGGCAGCAAGCGUUGUUCGGAAUUACUGGGCGUAAAGAGUGUGUAGGCGGUGCUCUAAGUUCGGUGUGAAAUCUCCCGCUUAACUGGGAGGGUGCGCCGGAAACUGGAGUGCUUGAGCGCGGGAGAGGAAAGCGGAAUUCCGUGGUGUAGCGGUGAAAUGCGUAGAUAUCAGGAGGAACGACCGAUGGCGAAGGCAGAUCUCUGGGCCGUUACUGACGCUGAGGAGCGAAAGCGUGGGGAGCGAACAGG